rnacentral:rRNA from 1 species
GGAAUCUUCCACAAUGGACGCAAGUCUGAUGGAGCAACGCCGCGUGAGUGAAGAAGGUUUUCGGAUCGUAAAGCUCUGUUGUAAGAGAAGAACGUGUGUGAGAGUGGAAAGUUCACACAGUGACGGUAACUUACCAGAAAGGGACGGCUAACUACGUGCCGA